rnacentral:rRNA from 1 species
UACAGAGGGUGCAAGCGUUAUUCGGAUUCACUGGGCGUAAAGAGCGCGUAGGCGGUUUAGUAAGUCGGGUGUGAAAUCCCAGAGCUCAACUCUGGAACUGCAUUCGAUACUGCUAGACUAGAGUACAGGAGAGGAGAACGGAAUUCCCGGUGUAGAGGUGAAAUUCGCAGAUAUCGGGAGGAACAACAGAGGCGAAGGCGGUUCUCUGGACUGUAACUGACGCUGAGGCGCGAAAGCGUGGGGAGCAAACAGG